AGGGGCAGUGGCAACAUUAUCUGUUACAAGCAUUCAGCAGUUGGCAGAAUUGAUCUUGGUGAUACAAAAAAAGCAAGACUUGCCUAAGAAAAAAGAGGCACAACAUCAUGGUGGAUGAUCUCAAGUCGUGAAGCUUGGAGGGGUCCUGCCGUGAUAUUUUUGACUAUUCAUACGUCAUUUAAAUGAAAGUCCUAGAGCUCUAAACCUUAGAAAAAAUUGUGACAAGCUUUAGGGUGCCACAUAUUAUUUAAUAUAACAGCUUUUCUAAAGCCAGUUACGAUAUUGUUUCCAGGAGGACACUGUGUCACGACACAGUAUGUAGCUCAAUUGAUAGAGCAUCGUACGCGAAAUGCGAAGGUUGUGGGAUCAUUCCCCACCUGCGGCAAGUUGUUUUUUCAUUCACUUUCAUUUCCAUUAAUUUAUCGUUUCUUAAUUUCAUUUAUUAAGCACAACUAACUUCCCUUAUGUUGUCAUUGGUGUCAGUGUUGGCUUCUUAUGAUAUGACUAAUAAAAAUCGGGCCCCUCGGUUAACCCCUUUCUUCUCGUUUUUGACACAGUAUGUAGGAGCAGGACGUUGCAAUGUUCUGACUCUUGCUCUGGCUCGCUUGGUUGCCUCGUAUGCUGCUACUCGUUGCGAGGGCCCAUGUAGCAGCAUAGCGGGCAACAAAGCAAGCUGGAGCAAGUCCCAAACCUUCAUAAUGUCCUGCUUCCACGUGACCACAUACAGUGUCAUGAAAUCGCAACACAGUAUCCUUCUGAGAAACGGAACAAACUGGCUACAGAAAAGCCACUAUUUUAAAUUAUUUACAAUGCUCUGAGAAUUUUCACUAUUUUUUACAGCAAAGCUGUAUACCUCUACCGUCGAAGGAAAUUUUCGUGUCAUUGUUGUAAGCAAAAAACUCCCCAUACGUGGGCUGACCCGCGGCAGAGGUGAAGUAGGCGUUAAGCACUCCCCAUACAGGGGCUGAUCUUGAAGGUAGUGCAAUACCGGUCUGACCAGCGGCAAAGGUGAAGCAGGCGUUAAGUACUCCAUAUACGUGGGCCGAUCCCAAAGAUAGUGCAAUGCUGGGCCAAACCGCGGCGGAGGUGCAGUUCGCCAUUAAGGGGCCCACAUACACAGCUUCGCUGGUCAUCCUUCUUCACAGAGUGGAAGGGCACUGAGUUUUUUCUAGGGUUUAGAGCUCUAGAGCCCUUAUUAAUUGUGAAAAAAUGAAUAAUCUAUAACAUAAUGUCAAUACCUCUUUAAAAAGUAAUUCGUUAAUGAUAAGACAAGGAGGGAGAGUCAUAAAGCAGUGGCCCUUUGUUAAAGUAAGACACAUUCUUCGAAAAGUGGAAACUGUUUGUUGAUCUAGAAGCAUGUUUAUUAAUAUACACCUGUGCUCAUUGGAAAUACAUCUAUAUAUGCUAUAUUCUCAUGUAUGUAGCAUGACCAUGAAUAUAAUGUAAAGGUAGGCAGUAGAAGGCUUCUUGUUGACUGGUAAACUACAGUACUAUAAUAGCAUUAACUAAAUAUGCGUAAUGUGACUAAUGACAUGGGCAGAAAACAAAGGUCUAUGACAGUACUUUUUAACAAGUACUGACAUGAUGUUUCUGUCAAUUCCUUUUGGUAAAUGGAUGUCCAGGCCCUUAAAACCAUAAAGAAAUGCCAGUAAGAGUCAGAGUGCCCUAAAUUAAUUAUAUAGGCUGUCUCUAUUCAUUGGUUUUGGUACCUAGGUGCUGGAUGUGUCAUGAUGUCAUCACACAUUGGCUCUCUCCAUACCUGUUAUUGCUGCAGCUGCUACUUGCAAGCAGAGCUAGACUAAAUGCACACAUUUCUUUAAUGAGCAGCAUCAUACCUAGCCUUGUUGCUACUGGUCAGCGAACUUGUUUGGCAUCAUGACAUCACACUAAUGUCAAUUACGUCAAGUUUGGUACCUCAAGAUCAACUUUAGUAUCAAAAUAUCUUAUUCGUUCGUUGCAUUUACUGCGCUAAUCAUUGUGCACCUUGGAAUUUUGAAGUGUUUUCUAAUCUUCACACAUACUGAGCGUCAUCCAUUUACAUGCGAGAUGAAUGUGGUCUAUAACUUAAAAAACAUGGGCAAAAACAAUAAUUUCUCUUAAAGGGCCCCUCACCAGGUCUGGCCAUUUUGAGCUGACAAGCGCAGAGCAUACAUUACACGACAACGAUCAUGUCUGCAAAGUAUUACAUCGCUACGCACUGUGGAAAGACCUGAAAUUUCAAACUGAAUGCCGUUUUCCCUUCUCCUCGCGGCCACCGAGCUGCAAACCGGAGGAUGACGUACACGUGCUAGUGCUCCUACGUACACGUGUUUGCACUGUGACGUUGCUCGUGGUGACACGUGACUUCGAGAAUUAUUCAAGGCAACAUCCGCUAUUUGUGUUAUAUGUUGCUUGAAUAGACAAAUUAAAGCUUAGAGAAAUAAUAAAACACACAAACCGUAUGUCUGCAUGUUGUUUCACUUCGCAGCACAGCAAGCGAUAUGUACUUCUGUUUCGUUUGCUUGUUGCCAUGUCGUGUAGUCGCGCACGCAGACACUGAAACUGUGUAAUUUUCUACCGUGUUCCAGCGCGGGAUCAUGCUCUGUGAUGCAUCUGUUUGUGCCUGCCUGAGUAUUCGUGUAGCACUGACUUAUACCACUAGUCAGGUGUCUUCGUGCACAGUGCGCAAAACCGUGCGCUGCGUGAAAUGAGACAAUCACAACAGCUCGCACGUGACACUGUCAGCAGAAGUGUGCCGUGCCACAAGAAAGCGAGGAAAAAAAAGAAAAAAGGCUGGGUCUGCAAUGUAUGUGUCACGUGAUCCUCGAGGUCUGGUAUGGGAGAACGCAGGGAAGGAAUUUUGCUUGCGAGGGCUAGACGGGGCAAGUGGAGAGAGUGUCUCGCUUGGCAAUGGAGCUCGCCUCCUGAAAUCAUGGGUUUGCGGCACUGAAAUAUGUCUAUCUCCGCUACUAAUGAGCCGAUUUGAAAAAUUUUUGUGGCAGAAUGCUCCCUAAAGGGCACAUAACAACUUCCAGCAUAUAACAAAAAUUUGCUAUGGGGCCUGGUGAGAGGCCCUUUAAGGGAAAUAAUUGUGGUACGAAGCAUUACACUGUGCCACGUCAGUUCCACGUUUGUGAGCUAGACGUUCUUACUUCUCUUCUUCCGUUAGAGUACGGUAGCGCUGCCUAUCCUUGGCUUUUCCAGCACAUGGCAUAGACGCAACACUCACCUUCUUUGAUCAAGGCAUGUUUGCAGUCCACGAGCAGGAGCAGCUGUGGAGAGCGGCGAGCGGUGCCCGGUGUCCAAUCAUUGCACGAAUUAGUGCGCGCCUCUACACCAGCACACAUUGCAGUGGUGGAUUGCUCAUCACACUGAAGUAUUCCAACCGUGCUGCGAUAUGCUGCCCCAAGAAGCCACGGAUGAGACAACAUGGGCACAACGUUACACCGAGUCAAUGACCGCUUGACAUCAUGGGCCACUGUGCUGUUGCCUACUUAAAGAGGAAGCUUUGGCUAGGGGCAAUUCCGAUUUCGCUGUUCAAAUACACAUGUAAAAUGCAGAAAUGCUUUUAUGAGAUGCUGCUGGGCCAAUUCUAACGAAAUUUGUUGCAUUUGAGAGAGAAAUUUUAAUUUCAGCAAGUGUAGGAAGCAGAAUUUUGAGUUAGAACCUCUAGCUUUCUUCAAAAAUUGCUGAAAUAUGGUAGUUUAAAAAUCUGGAAGCAUGCAAUUUAUAAAUCCAUAACUCUGCACCAAAAACAAGAGUUGCAGUUUUGUUAACUAUAUCUGUUAGAGCAUCUAAAGCAGACAAAUGUGAUAUAUUCAUUUACAACUUAGGCAAAAUUGUUACAAUGUUUACAAGGGUAUUGCAAAAGUCAAAUUCACAAACUGGUGAUAUAUUUAGAGUGAUGUAUAAUAGUAUAUGAAUUUUGUCCGCCUUUGACGUAUUAUUAUUUGCUGUUUACAGAAUUAUGAUCUUUUUAUUGCUGAGUUACAUCGUUGUAAAGUUGAUAUUUGAGUUUUUGAACUCUUGUAGAUUUCAAGAAUGUUUCUAAAAGCCCUGAUGGUAUAAAUUGAAAAUAUAUCCCUACAGUUAAUGAAACUUAGUGCAAUGUGUGGUGAGCAACACAAUUCCUAUGUUCCAAUGUAUUUAGAUAAGAGCUCCUGCGCUAAAGCUUCCUGUUAAAGGGCCCCUGCAACCAAAAAUUACAUGUUAGUUUACUAUAGGACUUGGCGAUGCCUCCAGCGCCAGUGAAAGUGCUGAAAUAAGAGCAUUUGAUAUUUGAAUUUGCUUCUGAAAUCACUUUCCACACUGACUUCAGCGUCAUACAUCAACAAUUUUCGGAAGCGCAUGUGAUACAAAGGCACAUGACUUAUGCCGUUUGUUUUGAUUGGUUGGGCAUGAAAAAUAUAUUGUGGGUGUUAAUGCUAUACAUACAGUAACAACCUUAAAAAUAAAGAUGUCCUUUGCGUUUUAAAGAUAUGAAGAGGACCCACAUUUGUGCAACACAAGUUUUGUUUGCAACUGACACUUGGUGCGUUGUCCAACCGUCUACAGUCUAAAUAUAAAACAGAAAUAAGCACUUGCAUAUAGCACGUGGGUAUGAACGGUGGGUAAAGUUCAUCCUGUAUAUUUCUGACAAACAUCUGAUGGCCAUAUAUAGAAUUUAAUCUGGGUGGGAAGGUGCAUUUGCAGGCCCUUUAACUAGAUGACACCACCAUGUCAGGUAAGGAUACAAAGGGAAGAAAGGUUGCAAUACUGUGGGUCUUCACUGGGCGAGUGAAAUGUGAAAGGUUAUGCCUCUUUUUGUUGUCUGCAUUGAUUUUGAAUUUGUAAGUUGAAUAACUCUUGUCUGGCAGUAUCAGUUUUUGUCAUUCUGUUUGCAUUCACCUUGGGAUAACGCAAGGAGCAUAUUGUGAUGCAGAAAUUGGUGGUUUCAAUAUGCUCGCAGGCCCGCUAUAAUUUUUUAAGAGGAAGCUUUAGCUCAAGCCCAACUCUGCAGCCGCCUAUAAAAAUAUGUGUAAGAUGUAUAAACGCUUUUAUGAGAUAACCACUGGACCGAUAUGAAUAAAAUUGAUUGCUUUUGAGAAAGAGUUAAAUUGUAGUGACUGUAGGACACAAUAUUUUUAUUUAGGGCCUGAAAUGUAUUGCAAAGCUGGCCGAAAAUUGCUAAGUUUCAAAUAUGUAGAAGCACGAAGUUUACAAAUUGGUAACUCUACACCAAAAACAUAUUGAAGUUCUGUAAAUUGCAUACGUAAGAUCAUCUAAAGCGGACAAAUUUGGGAUGUUACUUUAUAGCUUACGUGGAUUUGUUACAGCGUUUACAAGGGUUUUGCAGGUGUCCUGUACACAAAUUAGUAAUAUGUUUCACAGGGGUGUAUAAUACAUAAGUUUUGUUCACUUUGGAUGUAUUAAUAGGUGCAGUUUACAGAAUUAUGAUGUAAUUUUUCAUUGCUGAAUUAUAAAAAUUGAUAGUAUCAUUUUUUUAUUUUGCAAUAUUGAACAAUCUUUAUGAAAAAUUUGAUGGCGUGUAUAAAAGAUCUGCUUCCUACGGCCACAAAAUUUUCACUUUUCUUUUUUUAAAUGUAACAAGCCUCAUCAAAGUUGGUGCAGUGGCUAGAAAAACAUUUUCUCCUUUCCCAUGUAUUUGCAUAAGAGCCCCCGAGCUAAAGCUUCCUCUUAAAAUCAAGUUCCUUCUUUGACAUUGUGUGCCUUGUACAUCGAGAGCUUAGAUUUUCAGCAAAGCUCAGAUGCAUUGCAAUUUAGCUUGCAUACUGAUCCAUGGAAGUUUUAGGAUCUCACAUUACAUUUGGAACAUGCCUCCUAAUAUAAUACUAGGCUAGUAAUUUCAAAGAAGAUGUCAUAUUCAUACAGAUAUUGCAUUUCUUCAUUGUUCUGUGCCAUACCUGUUUUGCCUAGUUGGACAUACACCUUGCACAAGAGUGAAUUGCCGAUGAACUUGCUGCCCAGACUAACAGCUUAGCUUGAUCGUGUUUAGUAUACCCAAGUCAACAGCACAUUUCUGGAUUUGCUCCUCCCUAAACAGAUUAAAAGCAGUAAGCGUGCUCUACAGGAGUUUUUCACAAGGGUGGCCUUAGGUAAGCGUACCAACAGAUUAGAUAUCUGAUCUGUUGGUACCUGAAAUAACUUUUCAUAACUUGCACAACUAGUAAAUUUUCAUGAUUUGAGUCAAAGCACGGUUUGAUGGAGAACAGACGCUAAUAGUUUCACAGAGUGAGAAAAUGACAAAUGUGAGAAAGAAGUGGUGGCAUCACUCCUGUCUAAAAAAUUCAGAACCAGCUUCUGGUGAUGUAAAUAGUCAUAUAUUUUUCAAGAGUAGUCAAUGAUGCAUAAUAAAGAGCAACUUAUGAUGCACUUGAAACUAAAAUAAAUGCUGCAGGGCCACUUUUACAAGGCUUUCGUAAAGAAAUGACACAGAGCUUUUGCACUAAGUGUGGUCAUGUAGUACCCUCUCUGUGGCACCCUCUGGCUUGCCAUAGACAGAAGAGCAUAGUAUCGCCUUAGAGCCUAGCAGCACAGAGUUUCUAACGGCAUUUAAGACCUAAAUCUUUCUCAACUUCAGUGGUUUGGUAAUGGCAGUCACUCUCGCUAGCAUUCGCCACCAAAGAUGCAGUGUUUUCAUAGUUGUCAGCACAACUGGCGCUCUUUUCGCUGCUGAGUGUUCCGGCCUCCUGUGCUAGUGAUGUCAUGUGUGUGCUACUUCUAGGCACCUUGCGUGCACUUCCAUCUGUAGAUGGCUAAAAUUCAGGCAUUUAUAGGCAGUCUUCAAUGCAUGACUGGGUCAUCUCUUGGCAUAGAACAAUGAACCAGUUUUUCAGUACCAUAAUCUAUCUCUCAUUAUGUAGAUAGUACUUGCAUCUGAUGUUCCUUUAGAGAUUGCUGAAACAUUAAGCUACUGAUUGCAUGUUUUUAUACAUUGUCUCUCGUGCCUGAUAUCAUAUAAGAUCAAAUGGUUGUGCUAUUUUACUGCAGAGUUGAAUAGACAGCAAUUUUUGUGAAGAUCUUUCUUUAUGUUUUAAGAAUGCUUUAUUCCAUGCUAUUAUGUAGUGAUGCAUCAAUAUUACUAAUGGUAUUGUUCAAAUAAAAACAGUGUUUGUGGCCUUUAA